GGCAGUUGUAGUUCAGUGGUUAAAAUGAUGGGUGACUGGUCAGAAGGUUGUGAGUUCAAAUCCCAGCACUGCCA